rnacentral:rRNA from 1 species
GGAGAAAAGUAGGGGAUCGCAAGACCUUGCGCUCUUUGAGCGGCCGAUGCCUGAUUAGCUAGUUGGUGAGGUAAAGGCUUACCAAGGCGACGAUCAGUAGCUGGUCUGAGAGGACGACCAGCCACACUGGGACUGAGACACGGCCCAGACUCCUACGGGAGGCAGCAGUGGGGAAUUUUGGACAAUGGGGGAAACCCUGAUCCAGCCAUGCCGCGUGAGUGAAGAAGGCCUUCGGGUUGUAAAGCUCUUUCAGCCGGAACGAAACGGUCACGGCUAAUACCUGUGAUCACUGACGGUACCGGAAGAAGAAGCACCGGCUAACUACGUGCCAGCAGCCGCGGUAAUACGUAGGGUGCAAGCGUUAAUCGGAAUUACUGGGCGUAAAGCGUGCGCAGGCGGUUUUGUAAGUCAGAUGUGAAAUCCCCGGGCUUAACCUGGGAACUGCGUUUGAAACUACAAAGCUAG